rnacentral:misc_RNA from 1 species
UUUUAAUGUUUUAGUCCGUUUUUCUCUUUGUUCAGCUCUGAAGUGAUACUAAAACACUUAUUCAUCAAUUUUCACUUCGCCUUCAGUGAGUAAUUGUUAAAUAUCUGUCUUCUUUAAUGAGAUAUUCAAGUUAUUAAAAUAUGCAAAUUAGUCAGUUGCAAGUGAUGAUGUCACAAACUCAACCAAAUGUUAAUCAAAUAUGAUAAAAAAAGAUAUCUGGGUCAAUUUGUAUCAGGAAUGCUUGAUUUUUGGCAUUGUACUAGUUGUGCUCCACAAUAUGAGCUUAACAGUUUUGUUACCAUGGUAACAUACUAGGUUCCAGACCCCCCUGAUAUUAAAGGCUUUUCUGGCCACGUUUGGCAUUCCCUUUUGAUAUUUGCCAACAAAUCGCCCAUGGAUUGUAUGAGAUUAUCUGGUAGUCCACUGCAAGUGGUGGUGGAGGCAGCCCUGAUGUGGAAGUAAUGGCCUGGGGAGGGGGGGGGGGGGUUUAGAUAAGCCCCAAGCACCCUCAGUCCGAUAACUAUACUGCUAAAUUGGUUUUUAUUUUAUUCCACAUAAAUUAUUUAAAAAUCACUUGUAUUAUUUUACAAUGUUCUUUCUUAUUUAGGUAUUGCUAUUUAAUGUGAUGGUCAAAGACAUAUAAUUCAUCAUCGCACAAUUCUUAAGAUGGCAACGGCUUCCUCUGGGUCAAGCCAUCUUGGUGUGACUGAAAAUCAGAAACGAUGGCUUGUGGCUGGAAUAGCACUCAACAAGAUCCUCAUACCACAGAUACGUCCGUUUGUGGAACAAGGCAUCAACACUGAAUACAACAACCUCAAGACUAGCCACAAUAUUCAUGGACAGAGCACAUCUGGACGUCUUCAACGGUGGCCAGCUAGAAAAGUGUUGAAAUAUGAGAACAUCAAUGGAAAUGAUGUUCAUCCCAGACGUUGUGGAAAAUUUGAUUAUUCUCUGUUUGACUGUCGAGUAAUGUCUCAUGUUGACUUUGCCAGGCUGUAUGUUGAGAACUAUAUGGCCCUCUUCACUGCCUUUGAUGACCACUGUGAUGCAUCUGCUGUGUUGACGUUACUUGGUGGGGUCCCUGUAUUCUCGGCACCUGUGCAAACCGCUGCAGCUGACGUCAGAAUGGGGAGAAAUGACUGGGCACAUUGUGUCUUCAGCAAAUGGGAGCAAGUCAAAUAUCAACAAAGUUUUAUUGACAUGGAACACCUAGUGAGAGUCAUGGCUUUACCAGCUGCAGAUCAAGGGAAACUUCUUGGAGAACUUAAAGACUGGGAAACUAAAGGAACAUAUCUCUGCAUGAAUUCCCCCAUAGACCCACCAUUGUUACAAUUGGUUCAACAAGACCUUCAGUUGCUUCAAAAUGCUCUGAAGAACAUGUCUGUAGAAUUUGAAGAAGAGAAGAGAAAAGUCCAACAUGAACUUCAAAAUAUUGCAACAACUCUGGAAGAGAUGACACAGAGGGUUCAAACCUUAGAGCAUCGCACUGGAUUAGUUGAAGGCAGAAUGCAUGAUUUGGAAGGGGAUGUCAACCGGACGGUAGAGAGACUGGAGAAUAGUCAGCAGACCAUGGAGAGUCGUACUGUGCUUGUUGAAGACAAAUUAUAUUAUCUUCAAGCACAAGUGGCAGACUUAUCAGUAUCAAGAGAACCCAAUCUAAGCAGCACGUGCCAAGACACUCCCAUGCCAACUGUGUAUCCAGAAAAACUUGUGGAGCUCAUCAAACGGGACUACAAAGGUGCUAUUGUGUGUCCAUUUCCAUGGUGUGAGGAUGAGCUACAACUGGAACUGUCGAACAUCUUCACAAGAUUGACGAUGACCAGUAAGAAAAAGGAAAGAGCAAAGAUAACAGGUAAAGAAGUCAAAAUGACAGACGUGUUUAUACCACACGAGGAAUGCUACAAGCCAAGAGUGGUGCUGAUUGAGGGGCAGCCUGGAAUGGGUAAAACCACUUACUGUCAGAAGCUUGCUUACGACUGGUCUGUGGGGGGAAUUCCACCUGAAGCUUCGUUUCCUGAUGUGGAGAUACUUCUUCUUCUGAAGUGCCGUGAAAUGAAGAUGACGAAUGCUAACAUCGAGGAAGCAAUUGAUGACCAACUACUUCCACAAGAUGCAGACAAGAAGGAGAAGGAAAACUUCUUCAAAUUUAUUCGCCGUAAUCAAUCUAAAAUAUUAUUGGUUCUUGAUGGAUUGGAUGAAUUGCAUCAUGCUCUGUUGCAGAGUUUCCUUCCCUUGAUUAAAGGCAAAGUUUUUUCCAAUACCUAUCUGAUGUUGACAGCUCGACACGAGGCAGGAAUGGGGGUACGGCGAUACUGUGACACACUUCUUGACAUUGUUGGCUACACCAAUCAAGAUGCUGACAGUUACAUUACAAAGUAUUUCAGCAAUCAUGAGGAUCCGAGCCUUGGUAAUGCUUUGAUCGAAAAAUUAAAGCAUGAAAGUCAGCUGAGGGAAUUGACUGCUAAUCCAUUGAACACAGCUCUGCUAUGUCUUGUUUGUGAAGAUACAAAAGGAGCCUUUCCUUCCAACAAAACGAAAUUGUAUUGCGAUCUUGUGUCAUGUGCUUUGAGGAGAGAUUUCGCAAAGAAGAACAAGAGUGUUCCUUCGGAUCCCAUUGAGACGUGUGCAGAUCAGUUGAAUCAGUUGGGAAAGAUGGCACUUGAAGCCCUUAAAGACGAUCGAAUGCACUUCAGUGAAGAUGAGAUGAAAUGCCACUCUUUUAAUUUCCUGAAAUGUUUUCUUUCUCGAGAAGCUAGCGUAAGCAAAAUCAAGCCAACGCCUUGUUAUGCAUUUACGCACAAGACCUUUCAGGAAUUUUUUGCAGCGUUCCACUUGGAACAUGAGUUGUUUUCUUGUGACCAAGCUAGAAGAGAUGUCUUACUAGCUCAGCUUAGUCCUGUUGACAAAUAUUGGCAGGUGUGGGAAUUUCUCUUCACAAUGGUAGCAAGUAAGAGUCACGGGGACGCAAUUUAUCUCUUGUCGCGUCUUUGUGCGUGCUUAUACCACAAGAAACCUGAGAAAUUGAUUGAAACUGAAGCUAUCGCUAACUUAGAUGCUGGCAUUUGUGACGAUCCUUCUUACGACUGGACAACUGACGAACGUGCGAGAAGAUUGAGUACCGAAGAGGCAGUGUUGCAGGAUAUUGUGGUUAAGACACUUAAUCUUAUCGCUGAGUGCGAAGAAGGUGAGAAUCAUGAUGAACUAAAGGAUUACCAGAAGAAAAUGGUGCUUACACUGGCACGUUGCUUUCCAGUGCGAAAAUUUGAACUGAACUUGAACUGUCCAACUUUACGUGAUUCCCUUGUUAUCUCUGAAUACUUAAAAGCCAACUGUACACUGGAACACUUAUAUCUUGUUGGCAAGUUUGACUGGCCGGCAUUAUCAAUAAUUAAGACUGUACUUCACUCUGAUCACAAGCUGCUGCAUUUAUGUUUGGCUGAUUCAGUUAACUUGUUAACGUCUCGUGUCGACCCUCAGUGGUUAUAUAGAGUUUUUCCAGAUCUUAUCAGGAUCAAGGUUUCUGAAGCUAAAGCACUGGCACGACUUCUCCUUUCAAAUCGCACUUUGACACAUUUAAACCUACGUAAUGAUGGGGUCUGUAAUCAUGGAGCGGAAGCAAUCGGGGUCGUUCUUCAGCUGAAUCGCACUUUAACUCAUUUGUAUUCAAAUUCUGGGUGGAUCCAGGAACAAGGAGCCAAAGCUCUUGCGGAGGCUAUUUCGUCAAAUUUUACUUUGACACAUUUGAGUCUGCCUGACAAUUGGAUAAAUGAUCUUGGAGCAGAAGCCUUUGCGAGAGCUCUUCGGUUUAAUUGUACACUAAAGUUUUUGGAUCUAAGUGUAAACUGUAUCGGCAAUCGAGGAGUCGUAGCGCUUGCUAAAUGUCUGGAGUCGAACGUUAGCCUGGCGUAUUUGGAUUUACAUUGCCAACACGGCAGGUGUAUUCAUGCUGUUCUGCCGGAACUGAUUGGUGAAUCAGGAGCAUCAGCACUCGCAAGAGCUCUUCGAACUAAUUGUACGUUGAUGUAUUUAGAUCUUCAGGAUAAUGCGAUCGGUGAAUCAGGAGCAGCAGCUCUUGGAGAAGCUCUCCAAUCAAACCACCGUCUGACUCAUUUAUACUUAAAAAACACUAACAUUGGGAAUGAAGGAGCAGAAGGCCUUGCAAAAGCACUACAGGCAGAACGUGCUUUCUCACAGUUCAAUCCAGUGCAAGAGAGAUAUUCCCAUGAUCCAGGAGUUGUUCAGUUGUACUUUGGACUUGUAAAGGCACUUCAUUCAGAUGGUACUUUUGGUACUCGCUUGACCCGUUUAGAUCUGAGUGAGAGCAUGAUUAGCUCUUCUGGUGCAAUGGCUCUCGCAGAUGCUCUCCUGUCUAAUCGUACUCUUGAGCGUUUAGAUUUAAGUUCUAACAAGAUUGAAUGUUCAAGUGCAGCAGCCUUUGCAGAGGCACUCCAAUCUAAUCGAACUUUGACACACUUGGAUCUAAGAAGAAACGAAAUCGGUGAUUUAGGAGCCAAAGAGUUUGCAGAGAAUCUUCAGGAUAAUGAUACUUUGAGAUUUUUGGACUUAAGGAAAAAUCCAAUCGGUGAGUUAGGGGUACAGAACCUCACACAAGUUGAUCAGUCGAUUUGCAUGCUGAAGUAUAGUGACCCAGCGGAGCGUCACAUCACUCAUCAAGCUCCAUUAUUUGGCCAAGGAGUGUCCGUGGAGGCGGGUGUUGGAUUGCAAUUAAUCUGGUUUAAUUCGGAAUAAAUAAUAAUAAGAACAAAUAAAUAAUAAUAAGAACAAUGUAAAAAUGUACACAUACCUGUAGCAUCGAUUAUCAACUUGAAAAUCAAGAAAGGAGAGAACGACUUAAAGGAUAAGAUUCAAAGAUGUCGUAGAAAUGCAGGAUGAAAGAGGCUUCAAAGAAAUCGGAGGUCAAAUUUGAGGUCAAAUGCUGAUCAGAAGGGUAGGGGAAGAAGCUGCCGAUCCCGCAAUCUUUAGUAGACUAGUAUUCACCGGAGAGCGGUAGAGGAGAGGCUAAUGGAUGAAUCGUACGAAGAUAAUUAAGGUUUGAUUUGUGAAUGGCCUGAGCGAAGGAGUGGAUCUGUGUAUACAUCUCAAAACAAAAUACAUCUGGACAGUAACCAAUGAAAACGCUACUACAAAAUCUAAACGAAUAUAAGGCUUCUACACAUUGGAUGAUUACUCUAGGUUUUAGGUAACAGAUACUACCUCCAACAAAGAGAUCAUGUCGUACCAAAGAGGUCGCACGGACGGCAUACCUUAGAUUUUCAAAAUUUUAUUUGACUCUGAACCCUAUGUACAGAUUAUUUUCAAACUUUGCCAAAAGUAAUGUC